UACGUAGGGGGGCAAGCGUUGUCCGGAUUUAUUGGGCGUAAAGAGCUCGUAGGCGGCUCGGUAAGUCGGAUGUGAAACCUCCAGGCUCAACCUGGAGACGCCAUCUGAUACUGCCGUGGCUUGAGUCCGGUAGAGGAGCCAGGGAAUUCCUGGUGUAGCGGUGAAAUGCGCAGAUAUCAGGAGGAACACCAGCGGCGAAGGCGCUGCUCUGGGCCGGUACUGACGCUGAGGAGCGAAAGCGUGGGGAGCGAACAGG
rnacentral:rRNA from 1 species